UACUGAAUCGAACGCUUUUCGAACGAGUUUUCUUUGCAGAGCGUAUCACUCCGCCGUCCAUAGCAACGCCGUUGCUAAAGACGACGUUUUCGCGGGCGGCGGGCUGAAAUUUCAUCCGAGUUGUUGACAGCCGAUUACAUCACCAGUUUCGGCCUCUGCAUCAAGAUGGCGAUCAUCCUAGGCUUCACCGACUGUAAAAUUGGUGAAAGUCAUGCCCAACAGGAUUGUCACCAGCAGGAUACCAGGAUGUUAUAUUUAGCUUGAGAUUAUGG